CAAUAGCGUAUAUUUAAGUUGUUGCAGUUAAAAAGCUCGUAGUUGGAUUUCGGAUGUGAACGACCGGUCCGCCGUUGCGGUGUGCACUGGACGUUUGUAUCUUGUUGUCGGGGACGCGCUCCCUGACCUUAACUGGGAGGGACGCGGAGUCGGCGCUGUUACUUUAGAAAAAUUAGAGUGUUACAAAGCAGGCAACCGCUCUGAAUACAUUAGCAUGGAAUAAUAAGAUAGGACCUCGGUUCUAUUUUGUUGGUUUCUAGAGCUGAGGUAAUGAUUAAUAGGGAUAGUUGGGGGCAUUAGUAUUUAAUUGUCAGAGGUGGAAUUCUCGGAUUUGUUAAAGACUAACUUAUGCGAAAGCAUUUGCCAAGGAUGUUUUCAUUAAUCAAGAACGAAAGUUAGGGGAUCAAAGAUGAUUAGAUACC
rnacentral:rRNA from 1 species